rnacentral:rRNA from 1 species
GUGUCAGCCGCCGCGGUAAUAGCNUAGGGGGCAAGCGUUAUCCGGAAUCACUGGGUGUAAAGGGUGCGUAGGCGGCAAUGUAAGUCAGAUGUGAAAUCCCCGGGGCUCAACCCCGGGCGUGCAUUUGAAACUGCAUAGCUAGAGUGCAGGAGAGGAAAGUGGAAUUCCUAGUGUAGCGGUGAAAUGCGUAGAUAUUAGGAGGAACACCAGUGGCGAAGGCGACUUUCUGGACUGUAACUGACGCUGAUGCACGAAAGCGUGGGUAGCGAACAGGAUUAGAUACCCUGGUAGUCCACGCCGUAAACGAUGAGUGCUAGGUGUUGGGGGUCGAACCUCGGUGCCGAAGUUAACGCAUUAAGCACUCCGCCUGGGGAGUACGUACGCAAAGUAUGAAACUCAAAGGAAUUGACGGGGACCCGCACAAGCAGCGGAGCAUGUGGUUUAAUUCGAAGCAACGCGAAGAACCUUACCUGGACUUGACAUCCCUCUGACCGAUUCUUAACCGAAUCCUUCCCUUGCGGGGGACAGAGGAGACAGGU